UGUGGGUGUGCGGCUCGCUGGCGUUUCCCACACUCGCCAGCCAAUCCAAGCCACGGGCAGCACAAUGGGAGAAGCAGCUAUUCCUGCAUGCUCCGGUGGCGGUGAAUAGCCGCGGACAAUGAACUUCUCCCCGAUGAGCAGCAUUCCAGGGGCGGCCCGGGCUUCACUCGCGGGAGGAGGAGGAGGAUGAAGGAGGAAGGAGGAGGAGGUCAGCUGGCCGUGGUGGGAAUGCCGCUCCCGGCAGCGCGCCCGGGCACACGCGGCAGCGGGCACAAGGCACACGCCAGCAGCUCCUGGCGACCAACAAUUCCUCAAACCCACCGACCUGCCCUCCGCUGUGAGCCCCCCCCCCACAGCCGCCUCUGGCACCAGCUUUGCCCAUGGGAAGCAGAAAAUGGCUUUCCCGCUUUGACUCACCGCAAAUAAAAAACAUUUAAUUUUAA